rnacentral:rRNA from 1 species
UGAUGGGAGCUUGCUCCCUGAUAUUAGCGGCGGACGGGUGAGUAACACGUGGGUAACCUGCCUGUAAGAUUGGGAUAACUCCGGGAAACCGGAGCUAAUACCGGAUAAUAUGUUGAACCGCAUGGUUCAACAUUGAAAGAUGGCUUUUGCUAUCACUUACAGAUGGACCCGCGGCGCAUUAGCUAGUUGGUGAGGUAACGGCUCACCAAGGCGACGAUGCGUAGCCGACCUGAGAGGGUGAUCGGCCACACUGGGACUGAGACACGGCCCAGACUCCUACGGGAGGCAGCAGUAGGGAAUCUUCCGCAAUGGACGAAAGUCUGACGGAGCAACGCCGCGUGAACGAUGAAGGCCUUCGGGUCGUAAAGUUCUGUUGUUAGGGAAGAACAAGUACCAGAGUAACUGCUGGUACCUUGACGGUACCUAACCAGAAAGCCACGGCUAACUACGUGCCAGCAGCCGCGGUAAUACGUAGGUGGCAAGCGUUGUCCGGAAUUAUUGGGCGUAAAGCGCGCGCAGGUGGUUUCUUAAGUCUGAUGUGAAAGCCCACGGCUCAACCGUGGAGGGUCAUUGGAAACUGGGGAACUUGAGUGCAGAAGAGGAAAGUGGAAUUCCAAGUGUAGCGGUGAAAUGCGUAGAGAUUUGGAGGAACACCAGUGGCGAAGGCGACUUUCUGGUCUGUAACUGACACUGAGGCGCGAAAGCGUGGGGAGCGAACAGGAUUAGAUACCCU